GCCCCCUUAGCUCAGCGGGACAGAGCAUCGGACUUCUAAUCCGAGGGUCGCAGGUUCGAAUCCUGCAGGGGGUG
rnacentral:tRNA from 1 species